UUGUUUAUAACUAUAUAUUGGUUGUAUGUUGGUUUUAUAACUAGCAUAUCAAUCCUGCAAUCUCAGGGAAUUUAUCCUAAAAUAGGUUGUGUUUGUUUCCUAAAUUAUUAAUGUAUGUAUAUAUAUCAAAUGUAUGUAAUGAGACUGAAUAAGAGACGAAUUAUUUUCUUCUAAAUUUCAGAUACCAUAAAUCGUGUAUGAAAUGAACGGUCCUUUAGGGCAUUUAAAGAUGGAAAAGUGUUCUGACUAAUGUGAUAAAUGUGCUUAAAUGUUUGCAAAAUUUAAAUUAAUCAUACAUAUUUCCCUUCUAGUUUUAUUUACAUCUUUAUAUUUUGAAGCAUGUAUUUUUUUUGUUUAAAUAGGUAUCAGAGAAAGGCAGCAAAGUUAAUCCAAGAUUUCACAGCUUGUGCAAAUGACGUUGCUCUGGAAACACUUUCUUCAAUAAGAACUGUACGAGCUUAUGGAACAGGAAAACGAGAAUUUGGAAGGUACAAGCAGUGGCUACAAAGCUUGGCAGUUAUAACUCUUCGAGAGAAUAUGGCUUCAGGGUUCUGGGACCUAAUAUUUAGCAGCUUAUAUCGUUUUAUGCAGAUAUUUGCAGUGCUGUUGGUAGGUUUGUCUGUUCUCAGAAGUCAUGUAACUGUGGAACAACUUACCAAGUAUGUACUAUACUGUGAGUGGUUGAUUUAUGCAACUUGGAGGAUGACAAACAGCUUAACAUCAUUGCUGCAGUCCAUUGGAGCAUCUGAACAAAUAUUCCAACUGAUUAAUCUUUUGCCCAGUGAUCAAUUCUUAGCCAAAGGCGUGAAAUUGCACAGGUUAGCAGGUCAUAUUCAGUUUGCAAAUGUAUCCUUUUAUUAUCCUGCAAGGACUAUGAUGCCUGUUCUAGAACACUUGGACUUCUCCAUAGAGGAAAAUCAAGUCGUUGCCAUUGUUGGUCUGAGUGGUAGUGGGAAGAGCACAUUACUCAACCUUUUGCUUCGUCUCUAUGAGCCUAGUAGUGGUCAGAUAUAUAUCGAUGGAUUCCCUCUUAAAGAGUUGGAUAUUCGUUGGCUGCGUCAGAACAUUAGUUAUGUUGCACAGGAAUCCCAUCUCUUUCAUAUGGACAUCAAGUCAAACAUAAAGUAUGGUUGCCCCGGGAACAUAAAACAAGAAGAUAUUGAACGGGCGGCGAAAAAGGCCUAUGCCCAUGAUUUCAUUUCUUCUCUUCCUAAUGGAUAUGAAACCCUUGUUGAUGACAAUGCACUUAGUGGCGGACAAAAGCAGCGAAUUGCCCUCGCCAGAGCCAUUCUUAGGGACCCUGUUAUAAUGAUACUUGAUGAAGCAACCAGUGCUCUAGAUUCUGAGAGUGAGCAUUAUAUCCAGGAGUCGCUGUAUGCGUUAAAAGAUGAAUCUAAAACAAGAACCAUCAUUAUCAUAUCUCAUAGGCUUUCUACUGCAAAAGCUGCUGAUAAGAUCUUUGUUAUGGAUGAUGGUGGCAUCAUUGAGAUGGGAGAUCAUGAAGAGCUUAUGCUCAAGGAUGGGCUCUAUGCAAAAUUAAAUAAAAUUCAAGCAAAUAUUUUGACUUGAUUUAAUUUAAGUUUGGGUUUUCAGUGAUGAUAAAGAAUAGGACUGCAAUUUAAAGUUAAAAAAGCCUGAGGUGCGGAUUUUCAUGGAGACAGAAGCCAUCGCACCCCCAUAAAGCUUCUACACAUCCAUUGGUGGAAACUACAACUACAUACAUCUCCAUUGCUCGAAACUUGUGAAGAAGAAAGUGGUGAUUCUUGUUGCAUCGUGCGUCACAAAAGAGGACGUAAUUGGGUUUAAAGUUUUCGACAUUCAGGUGAUAAGUUGUUAUUAUUUGAUUAUGUAUGUAUAAAUAUCAAUGUGAAUAUUUUAUUUGGAAUAGGUAUAAAUAUAUAAGCAUUUUCCAUACAUAGGAAGGAAGGAUGUCAAUCUCACAUAUAAUGAAGUUCAACUACAAGUAGCAAGAUACUCCACUAGAUGACAGAUUAUGUUAUUAUCCUAAUCGCACUCUUCAUUUAUUCUCGUUAUACAGCUUAGUUUGCAGAUACAAUAACAAAAACAGAGCACUUGAAAACAACAAAUUGAAUAU